UACGAGUGCCCCGAGCGUUAUCCGGAAUCAUUGGGCGUAAAGGGUGUGUAGGUGGUCAGAUUAGUCUUGUGUUAAAUUCUUCGGCUUAACCGGGGGCAUGCAUAGGAAACGGUCUGACUUGAGGAUGCGAGAGGUGUGUGGAACUCAUGGUGUAGUGGUGAAAUGCGUAGAGAUCGGGAGGAACACCCGUGGCGAAGGCGGCUCACUGGGCUGACCUUGACGCUGAGGCGCGAAGGCGUGGGGAGCGAACGGG
rnacentral:rRNA from 1 species